rnacentral:rRNA from 1 species
GACGAACGCUGGCGGCGUGCUUAACACAUGCAAGUCGAGCGGAGCGGCGGAGGGGUGAGUAAUGCCUAGGAAUCUGCCUGGUAGUGGGGGAUAGCGUCCGGAAACGGACGCUAAUACCGCAUCCUAUCAGAUGAGCCUAGGUCGGAUUAGCUAGUUGGUGGGGGAAAGGCCUACCAAGGCGACGAUCCGUAGCUGGUCUGAGAGGAUGAUCAGUCACACUGGAACUGAGACACGGUCCAGACUCCUACGGGAGGCAGCAGUGGGGAAUAUUGGACAAUGGGCGAAAGCCUGAUGCAGCCAUGCCGCGUGUGUGAAGAAGGCCUUCGGAUUGUAAAGCACUUUCAGUUGGGAGGCGUUACUCGCAGAAUAAGCAUCGGCUAACUCCGUGCCAGCAGCCGCGGUAAUAC